AAAAAAUUGGUAUUUUCUGACAAUGAUUUUUUCUUUUCAAUCAGAUGGUCCCUAUAUCUAGCGUGUUUUGCAUACAUACAUUUUGCAAUACUGUACUGUGGAUUUUAUUUCUGCUUCUUUUUUAUUCAGCUUAAAAUAUGGUUUCUGUUUUCUCAAUUUUUAUUGGUUGUGAUUAUAACUAUCCUUUGCAUAAUACAUGUAUUUGAUUUUUUUGACCUUUUUUUGCAGCAAUGUAACAAAAGUCAGUCAGAGCUCAAUUUAGGCUACAGCAAGGAGCUUCUGAUCCUCUUUGUGUUUGCAUAUAGGUCUGGCUCUAGCGAGGUUGUAUUAUUACACUGAAUCGGUGGAAUAAGUAUAGUAUGUAAUGACAUUAUAUUUUUUGACCAAUUUCUUUUGUUUCCCUUAGAUUUAGUGAGUAUAUUGUAUAAGUGCUACAUGUAUCUGAUACAUUGGCAGUAGCUUUCACAAUGAAAUACUAGUACUUUUGAUUUAAAUUGACUGCCAAAAUUAACAGUCUGGUUCCGUAUCAUUCAUUAUGAUUUUAUCAUGUCUGCUCAGUCCAAAAUCCACAAGAAUCAUUUUAUCCUGUUUUGCAAUUGUCAACACUCUCACCUGCCAUAUUUUAAUAAGAAAUAUAGGUGUCAUAAAAUGUUUUUAAUACUACAAACACUGUUUAUGAGGUCAGUAUUAUUGUAACAGUUGCACAGACCGUGUGAAAAUAACUACACUCUUCUCUGUACGUGUUUUAUGUCUUUUUUUAUGUGCAACUGAACACAUAUUCAUACACAGAUACAUGUUAAACAAGCAGCAAUAAACAGAGAAUUCUGACUUU
rnacentral:sRNA from 1 species